UUGGAGGGCAGUCUGGUGCCAGCAGCCGCGGUAAUUCCAGCUCCAAUAGCGUAUAUUAAAGUUGUUGCAGUUAAAAAGCUCGUAGUUGAACUUCGGGGUCUACCCAUUGGUCAGGCUUAAUUGUCUGUACUGGUGAGAUGGAUCUCUACCUUCUGAGGAACUUUCAUGCCAUUUAUUUGGUGUGAUGGGAAAUCAGGACUGUUACUUUGAAAAAAUUAGAGUGUUUAAAGCAGACUAUCGUCUGAAUACAUUAGCAUGGAAUAAUGAGAUAGGACGGACUGAUUCUAUUUCGUUGGUUUCUAGGAUCACCGUAAUGAUUAAUAGGGAUAGUUGGGGGCAUUAGUAUUCAAUUGUCAGAGGUGAAAUUCUUGGAUUUAUUGAAGACUAACUACUGCGAAAGCAUUUGCCAAGGAUGUUUCCAUUAAUCAAGAACGAAAGUUAGGGGAUCGAAGACGAUCAGAUACCGUCGUAGUCUUAACCAUAAACUAUGCCGACUAGGGAUCGGACGAAGUUAAUUUUAUAAUGACGCGUUCGGCGCCUUACGGGAAAC
rnacentral:rRNA from 1 species